rnacentral:lncRNA from 1 species
AUUAACUCUUGGCAUUAUUUCAGGAGCUUUAGGGAUCUUAUUAAAGACGUCAUUGCCUGGGCAUGUAUGCUGGGGUGUUGACCCUAUGUUUUCUUCUAGGAGUUGCAUAAUUUCUGGUCCAAUUCCUAGGUCUUUGAUCCACUUUGAGUUGAUUUUUGUGUAGGUGAGAGUUGAAAAUCUAGUUCAUUCUUCCACAGAGGGAUAACCAGUUUUGCCUGCGCCACUUGUUUAAAAGGCUAUCUUUUCUCCAAUGUAUGUUUUUGACACUUUUGUCAAAGGUCAGAUGACUAUAGAUGGUAGGUUUGUCUCUGUGUCUGCUAUUCUGUACUAUUGGUCCCUAAAAAGCUCACACACACACACACACACACAAAACCCUCUUAGAAGUAAUAAACAAAUUCAGCAAAGUAGCAGGAUGCGAAAAUCAACAUGCAAAAUUUGUGGAUUUUCUGUUCACUAAUAAUGAUGGAUUAGGUGAAUGAAUAUUGUCAAAAUUACCAAAAACAAUCUGCAGAUUCAGUGCAAUCCCCACCAAAACACCAAUGACAUUCUUUACAAAACUAGAAAACAAAUUUCUGAAAUUCAUGUGGAAAGCUCAAAAGAACUUGAAUAACCAAAGUAAUGCUGAAAGCAUCACAACCCCUGAUUUGAAAAUAGACUACAGAAUCAUAGUAACAAAAACAGCAUGGCCCUGGUAUAAAAGCAGACAUGUAGACCAAUGGAAUAGAGUAGAGAACCCAUAUAUCACUCACAGCUAACUGACUCUUAACAAAGGUGCCCAAAACAUACAUUGGAGAAAAGACAACCUCGUCAACAAUUGGUGCUAUAUAAUUAGAUAUCUCCCUAUAGAAGACUGAAACUACACACUGUGUCUUGCUGUUCACAAGAAUCAAGUCAAAACAGAUUAAAGACCUCAAUGUAAGCCCAGAUCUUUGAAACUUCUAGAAGAAAACACAGGGAAACACUUCAAGGUGAUUGAAAGAAGGGACGGAUCCCUCCCUAGGACUCCAGUAGCUUAGGGAAUACAGGCAAGAUUGACACAGGGGACUACAUCAAAUUAAAAAGCUGCACAGCAAAGAAACAAUCCAGAGUGAAGAGAUAGCCCGCAGAAUGGGAAAAAGUCCUCGCCAGCUCUUCAUGUGCCAGAGGACUAAUACCCAGGGAGAUAGAAAGAACUCAAGAAAGUCUCCAACAAAGAGCAGGUGCUCCAACAGGAAAGCAGGCAAAUGAUCGGGACAGAAACUUCUCAAAAGAAGAAGUGACCAUAAGUCUAUGAGAAAAUGUCCGAAUUCUUUAGCCUUCAGGGAAAUGCAAAGCAAAACUACAUUGAGAUUCCAUCUCACCCCAGUCACAAUGACUAUUACCAAAGAAACAAACAAACAAACAAAAAUGCAUAUACUGAUGAUACCGAUGAGGAUUCCCACACUGUUGGUGGGAAUAUAAAUUAGUACAGCCACUACGGAAAACAGUAUGGAAAAAAAACCAACGAGAAUACAAUUAACAUAGGAUCUAGCUAUUGUACCCCUGGAUAUUUACCUGAAGGAAAUGCAGAAGGAUACAAGGAAAUCUCUGCAUUCCCAAGUUUACUGUGGCACUGUUCACAAUAGCCAAGAUAUGGAACCAACCUAGGUGCCCACUGACAGAUAUGACAGAAAAUCAUAUCUAUAUAUCGCAAUUAUAUAUAUAGUGCAUAUGCACAUUAUAUCUAUCACAUACUUUCUCUCAUGUGUGGAAACAAAAUAAAACAACCAAAAAACAAACCUGAAAGUGGGA